AUUGAACGCUGGCGGCAUGCCUUACACAUGCAAGUCGAACGGCAGCACGGGAGCAAUCCUGGUGGCGAGUGGCGAACGGGUGAGUAAUAUAUCGGAACGUGCCCAGUCGUGGGGGAUAACGCAGCGAAAGUUGUGCUAAUACCGCAUACGAUCUAUGGAUGAAAGCGGGGGAUCGCAAGACCUCGCGCGAUUGGAGCGGCCGAUAUCAGAUUAGGUUGUUGGUGAGGUAAAAGCUCACCAAGCCUGCGAUCUGUAGCUGGUCUGAGAGGACGACCAGCCACACUGGAACUGAGACACGGUCCAGACUCCUACGGGAGGCAGCAGUGGGGAAUUUUGGACAAUGGACGAAAGUCUGAUCCAGCAAUGCCGCGUGCAGGACGAAGGCCUUCGGGUUGUAAACUGCUUUUGUACAGAACGAAAAGUACUUUAAUAACACUAGAGGCUCAUGACGGUACUGUAAGAAUAAGACGCUAACUACG
rnacentral:rRNA from 1 species